GCCAGGUGUGGUGAUGCACGCCUGUAGUCCCAGCUACUUGGGAGGCUGAGACAAGAGGAUCACUUGAGCCCAGGGGGUCGAGGCUGCAGUGAGCCAUGAUUGUACCACUGCACUCCAGCCUGGGCAACAAAGCAAGACCCUGUCUCCA
ensembl:misc_RNA Metazoa_SRP Metazoan signal recognition particle RNA